AGUGAACGCUGGCGGUAGGCCUAACACAUGCAAGUCGAACGGCAGCACAGUAAGAGCUUGCUCUUACGGGUGGCGAGUGGCGGACGGGUGAGGAAUACAUCGGAAUCUACUUUUUCGUGGAGGAUAACGUAGGGAAACUUACGCUAAUACCGCAUACGACCUACGGGUGAAAGCAGGGGAUCUUCGGACCUUGCGCGAUUGAAUGAGCCGAUGUCGGAUUAGCUAGUUGGCGGGGUAAAGGCCCACCAAGGCGACGAUCCGUAGCUGGACUGAGAGGAUGAUCGGCCACACUGGAACGGAGACACGGUCCAGACUCCUACGGGAGGCAGCAGUGGGGAAUAUUGGGCAAUGGGCGCAAGCCUGAUCCAGCCAUACCGCGUGGGUGAAGAAGGCCUUCGGGUUGUAAAGCCCUUUUGUUGGGAAAGAAAAGCAGCAGGUUAAUACCCCGCUGUUCUGACGGUACCCAAAGAAUAAGCACCGGCUAACUUCGUG
rnacentral:rRNA from 1 species